rnacentral:ncRNA from 1 species
AGGAUAGAGGCGCAGUUGUCAAGAGUAAUUCCGGUGUAAAAGGCGAGCAAAGCCGUUGCCGGGGUGAAAGGGGCCGCUGCCGAAGGUCGGGUGCUUGCAUCCCCCUCCUGGGCAAACGAAUAAGAUUCGUUUGACUGUCGCAGAUUUUGCGGAGAGCUAUGGAU